UCUCUCUCUCUCUCUCUCUCUCUCUCUCGAUCUCCUGCACCCCGUGUGAAUGCGUUAAAACUUCUUCAACCUUCUAUAGAAACCCCAACCUCAGAUUCUUCCUCUUUGAAAUUCCGAAAACAGAAAAGAAAGAGAGAUUAAAUAAGAUCUCUCUCUCACGAAAAUCAGAUCGGAGAAAACGAAGCAGUCAUUACAGCGGAACGAUAGUGUCGACGAGGAGUAGCUCAGCUUCUUCCAAGCAUCCUUUAAACCUCACUUCUCCUAAUACCAAACGCUCCAAGAUGGAUAUUCCACCUCCGCCAGACGAUGCCAGCAACACCAGUUGUACACUUUAGAGCGAUUUGUCUUCUCUUCAAGAAGGCCCUCAACUUCCCUCCGAUCCGACCCCUGUCAGCGUGCUGAAGGAGAAAUCUAACGAGGCCACUGACAGAUUGGCGUGAAGGGUGAAGAUUUUCCAGUUUUAAAAAUGUUUUUCAGCUAAGCAUGUUUGUUUUUAUUUCUAUUGAAGUCUCCACUUUUAUCUCCAAAUAAUAUUUGUUGGAGAUUGGCAUGAAGGGUGAAGAUUUUCUAUUUCCUUCUCAUAUCAGAAGGAAUCCUUUGCAGUGCUCUCAACAGAAAUUCAUUCCCACAUGAAUUCCAAUUUGGUUUCAGUACAUCUGCAUUUCAGGUAUACUUCACAUUCCAAAAAAAAAAAAACUCUUUUGUUGUUCUUGUUGUUGUUGUUGUUUUCUUUUAUAAAAUGUUGUUUUUUUUCUUUUUUAUUUAAAUUUUUGGUGGAAGGAGCAGCUCUUGAAGAUGGGAGGGGUGUAAGCAUUUGGGAUACUUUCUGUUCUCUUCCUGGGAAGAUAUUGGGUGGAGGAAAUAGAGAUGUAGUAGCUGAUGUAUAUCAUCGAUACAAGGUAUUUGCACUUUAAUUGAAUUUGAGGGGACACUAAUUUCCUAUUUGGGGCCCACUGUGAUGUCUAUGUGGCAUCCACUCCAUUAAUGAUCACAAGAAUUGCAGUGUGGUAUUGAAUUUGUUGAGUUGCUAGAGGACGACCCAAAUUCAAAGGCUAAAGUCUCAAUGUAUACAGAUGUAUUCGAGCAAACCCCUCAUGAACAUGCCCGGUCCAAGAAUCAAGUUCCACUCUUUAGGUGGGAUGUAGAUGUAUGAGAAAAGUGAAUCAAGUGCCACCUGAAGAGUGUUCCAAAUCCCUCUUACAGGCGCUGCAUUUAGUUGCAGAAGGGGCACAUCACAUCCAUGGUUCUUGAGUCGGCUAUGGCGCUGCUGGAUUUCUUAGGGAUGUCUUUCGAGUCAAUGACAAGAGAUUGGAUUCUACUGUUUUUGGUUAGAUGUCUCUGGGUUGUAGGUCUGCCCAUCAUUUUCUUUCCUGUUCUUCUUUAGCUUCUUUUUUUUUUUUUGUUGUUGCUUGUCUGGCCUCGAGUUCUCUUCAACAAAAAAAAAAAAAAAACAUUGCAAUUCUGGGCUAUUUGGGUUAGAUAUGGACCAUUUAAAGGCUAUGUUGUAGAGGGGUCCUUAACUCCUUACACAUUUCAAUAAGUGCAACUGUGCAAAUGAUAGAUUGGUACUUUCAUGUAAACAAUCACUGAGAAGUUUGGACUCCAUUUGGGGGAUUCAGGAAAAUUUAGAUUAAUCCUUAAUCUCGAUUUUGGCAGGCCCCAU